GCCNGGCCCUACGGGGCGCAGCAGGCGCGAAACCUCCGCAAUGCACGCAAGUGCGACGGGGGAACCCCAAGUGCCACUCUUAACGGGGUGGCUUUUCAGAAGUGUAAAAAGCUUCUGGAAUAAGGGCUGGGCAAGACCGGUGCCAGCCGCCGCGGUAACACCGGCAGCUCAAGUGGUAGCCGCUUUUAUUGGGCCUAAAGUGUCCGUAGCCGGUCUGAUAAGUCUCUGGUGAAAUCCCGCAGCUUAACUGUGGGAAUUGCUGGAGAUACUAUCAUGACUCGAGGUCGGGAGAGGCUGGAGGUACUCCCAGGGUAGGGGUGAAAUCCUGUAAUCCUGGGAGGACCACCUGUGGCGAGGGCGUCCAGCUGGAACGAACCUGACGGUGAGGGACGAAAGCCAGGGGCGCGAACCGGAUUAGAUACCCGGGUAGUCCUGGCCGUAAACGAUGUGGACUUGGUGUUGGGAUGGCUUCGAGCUGCCCCAGUGCCGAAGGGAAGCUGUUAAGUCCACCGCCUGGGAAGUACGG
rnacentral:rRNA from 1 species